CAACCUGAGAGUUUGAUCCUGGCUCAGAACGAACGCUGGCGGCAGGCUUAACACAUGCAAGUCGAACGCCCCGCAAGGGGAGUGGCAGACGGGUGAGUAACACGUGGGAACGUGCCCAAAGGUACGGAACAACUCCGGGAAACUGGAGCUAAUACCGUAUGUGCCCGAAAGGGGAAAGAUUUAUCGCCUUUGGAUCUGCCCGCGUCUGAUUAGCUAGUUGGUGGGGUAAUGGCCCACCAAGGCGACGAUCAGUAGCUGGUCUGAGAGGAUGAUCAGCCACACUGGGACUGAGACACGGCCCAGACUCCUACGGGAGGCAGCAGUGGGGAAUAUUGGACAAUGGGCGCAAGCCUGAUCCAGCCAUGCCGCGUGAGUGAUGAAGGCCUUAGGGUUGUAAAGCU
rnacentral:rRNA from 1 species